GGCAAGUCGAACGCGAAAGUUUUCUUCGGAAAGCGAGUAGAGUGGCGCACGGGUGAGUAACGCGUAAAUAAUCUACCCUGAUGUCUGGGAUAACCCUUCGAAAGGGGGACUAAUACCGGGUAUAUGGUUAUCUGUUGGGAUAACCAGGAAAGGUGGCCUCUAUUUAUAAGCUAUCGCAUUGGGAUGAGUUUGCGUACCAUUAGCUAGUUGGUGAGGUAACGGCCCACCAAGGCGACGAUGGUUAGCGGGUCUGAGAGGAUGAUCCGUCACACUGGCACUGGAACACGGGCCAGACUCCUACGGGAGGCAGCAGUGAGGAAUAUUGCGCAAUGGGGGGAACCCUGACGCAGCGACGCCGCGUGAGUGAGGAAGGCCUUCGGGUCGUAAAGCUCUGUCAGAAGGGAAGAAGUGUAUUGCGGUUAAUACCCGUAGUAUUUGACGGUACCUUCAGAGGAAGCACCGGCUAACUCCGUGCCAGCAGCCGCGGUAAUACGGAGGGUGCGAGCGUUGUUCGGAAUCACUGGGCGUAAAGGGCGCGCAGGCGGUUUGUUUAGGUCAGAUGUGAAAGC
rnacentral:rRNA from 1 species